UUUAAGUAUAAUCAUAAGUUUUUUAAUUCAACUUUAAUUAUCUAUCUUAUCUGAAGUUUGUUUAUGAUUAUUAUUUUUAUUAUUAUUAGAUGAUAAAAUAUGAAUAGUAUUUUAUACGUGAUUUAUGUUUUUAAAUUUUUUUAAAAAUUUUUUAAAUAAAACUGAUAAUUAAAAUUGAACACGGAAACUCAUGACUUCAUUUUAA
rfam:Oryza punctata chromosome 4, whole genome shotgun sequence.